AUCUCGGCGACUUUCCGUAUGCUGGGGCAGCACUUCUGACAUCGGUGAAGGGAAGAAGGAGCAAGGAGAAGCAAAAGAGCUGCCCGUUGGAACCCAGGCCAGGGCCGGUCCUCUGUAGCCAAGCAAGCGGGAAGGACCCACGGGGCACAGAGGAGUGGAGCCUGGGAGGCAAUUACGAAUAAUGCUGCUUUGAACAUUGGUGUACAAAUCUGCCUUUGAUGCAACUUGAUUCACAAGAUUCUCCAACUCUGUUCCAGAAAAUCCAACAGUACCCUGAGCUAUUAUUUCUGGAUCAGCAGCUAUGUAAAAAAAGCAUACAAUGUUAAAAAGUUCAAAACAAAAUCCCAGGGUGGUGGUUUUUUUGCUUGAUAAAACUACAGUAAAAUAAUUAAUACUUUAUUUUAACUAAUAGAAAGCUCUUUGUAAAGCAAGGAACUCACUCACCAAAGAAUAAAGGAAAUAGUUACUCUGAACUGCAACUUAAAAUAUUUAUUUUGAUUAAAGCUCAGAAAUAAAUGUAAUAAAAUUCUUACAGGGAAAAAUCGCCAAACUAUGCCAUUAAAAUUGGCAUAGGGACACUUUACAAAAGUUCCUAAAUUUAAAUAGCUUUGUGAAAAAAAAAACAAAGAAAUGUAGUGUUGCCAGGAUAUGAAUUAUAAGCCCUCAAACAUGACCUUCACUGUUACUAGCCUAACCACAAACUGG